UCGGUCCUGAGUAGAGUGGCGCACGGGUGAGUAACACGUGGAUAACCUGCCCUAUGGUCUGGGAUAACAUUUCGAAAGAGAUGCUAAUACCGGAUAAGCCCACGACCUCCUCGGAGGAUGUGGGAAAAGAUUUAUUGCCAUAGGAUGGGUCCGCGGUCCAUUAGCUAGUUGGUAGGGUAAUGGCCUACCAAGGCGACGAUGGAUAGCUGGUCUGAGAGGAUGAUCAGCCACACUGGAACUGAGACACGGUCCAGACUCC
rnacentral:rRNA from 1 species